UAUUCCAUAUGUGUAACAGAAAUGAUUAUUUUUUCUGAACAAAAAGAAUUUGAUCCUCUGCUCCAGAAAAUGCUUAAAAGAAAAAUAAAGUUCUGCAAUGUCAUAUUUCAGUGAGGCAAACAAGUAUAUGUUGUUUUCAAAAUCCUUGUCUCCAAAGUGCAAUAUAAUAGUUCUGUUUCUUUUGCUAAAACAUUAUUCAUCUAAAGCAGUGUGUUUCACUGUAAUGAGAGUAUUUUGGUAUUUGAACUUUUGUGUGAUUCAAGGAAACAAUGUGAAUUCAUAUUGUUUUUAGCUGAAGAUGGAUACUUCCAUUUACUUUCCACUGUAUUAUAGAAUGGUUUGGGUUGGAAGGGACUUGUAAGACCAUCUACUUCCAAUCUCUUGCAAGGCAGGGACACCUCCCUCUAGACCAGGUUGUUCACAGCCCCAUCCAGCCAGACUUUGAAUGCUUCCAGGAAGGGAGUAAUAACAGUCUCUCUGGGCAACCUGUUGCAGUGUGUCAUCACCCUCACAGUAAAGAAUUUCUUCCUAAUAUGUAGUCUAAAUUUAUCCUCUUCCAGUUUAAAACCAUUUCCCCUUGUCCUGUAGGUACCUGCCUUUAUAAAAAGUCCCUCCCCAGCUUUCCUUUUGGCCUCUUCAGAUACUGGAAGGCCACUACAGGUUCCCUCCGGAGCCUUCUCUUCUCCAGACUGAGUAGUCCCAGCUCUCUCAGCCUGUCCUCACAGGAGAGGUGCUCCAGCCCUCUGGUCAUCUUCAUGGCCUUCCUCUGGACCUGCUCCAACAGCUCUAUCUCCUUGUGUUGCAGACUCCAGAAAUGGACACAGCACUCUAGCUGGGGUCUCACGAGAGCAGAGCAGAGGGGCAGAAUCUCCUCCCUCGACCUGCUGCUCACACUUCUCUUGAUGCAGCCCAAGAUACAGUUGGCCUUCUAGGUUUCAAGCACACAUUGACAACUCGUGUUGAGUCUUUCAUCAAUCAACAUCUCCAAAUGACUCUCAAGCCAUUCUCCAUCCAACCAGUAUCUGUGCUUGGGAUUGCUUGGGAUCAUAAAAUUAUUUUCCUUAAUUCUUCUACAGAAAACAAAAACUUUCAGCAGUAUUUCUGGAAAUGUAUUUAGGAAAAAAAAAGUAUGAUGGUUUUUUUGUCCGAGGGCUGCAGAUUACAUUUUGCUGCUUUACUGUAGGUAGUGCAAUUAUCUCAGAUUCAUGAUAGUGUAAAUAAGACCAGACUGUGGAAUGGGAUGAAGAUUAUUUCUGAUUAGAAAUAGUUUUGUCUGUCUGUUUGUCUGUUUAUUUGUUUUUCCUUUAGCAGAGAAGGCUAAACAAAACCCAUUCUGGAAUCAGAAGGCAGAAAGACUUGAGCAAUUUCAGGGAAGAAGCAGAAAAACCAAGCUUAAUUCCUUCACUUGUUGAGGAAGAUUCAGAAUCUCCCUUUGCAUGGAGGAGCUCAGAACUUCGGGCGGAAGACAAGAUGGUUGCAGACGCAGAGGUAAGGAAGGGCAUAUCCUCCCUUCCUAUCACUAAAGCACUUUCCAGUGAAGUAUUUAAGGAUUUUUUGAGCCAAUAUAUAGCUCAGAAGAAAUGUUGGCUCCACUUCUUUGUAGCUGAAAUAGUCACCCAAUUCCUGCUUACAGGAUAUUAAAACUAUUUAAUUUUAAAUUGUCAUCUCAACUAUAUCAAAUAUCUCAUACAGGUGAAGAGUAACACUUCCUUUUGCACCUUGAGAUUCCUGAAUGUUAUUCUUGAACCUAAAGUUACCAUAGUGAGAUGAAGGUGCUCCAGUACACAGUCAUUACAGCACUUUCCUGCUAGUAGGAAGAUUUCAAUCCCACCUGGCAGUGGAACGGUCUGAAGUUUGGACCUUCUGCUCAAGUGCUCUAACAUCAAGGCUACUGUAAAAACAGCAGUGUAACAGCACUGACAGCCUCAAAACAAAAGAUUAUUUCUCCUCUAUAGAGAGUGUGAUCCUCUUGACAUACAUGCUGUAAGUUCUGUAUACUUAUGGCAUAUACAGGGAUUCAAAUUUAGGAACCACUGUUUUCUGGAUUUCCAGUUGAGUUAUACGCUAAGAUAUUUUGAUGUGUCAAGAUGAGGGCAACUCUGAUCAUCUGCAGAGACACAGUGUUGGUUGCCUGAGUGAACUGAGUUCCUUUUGAAAGGAGGUAUUAAAUUCUUCAGAAAUCCUGACUUUAGACACCAAAGUUCUGUUCUGGGUCAGCUCUGACUUUGAACCCAACAUUUUCUGUCUAUCCCUUUCAUGUUUUUCUUAUCUCAACUCAGGAAUGAUUUAUUAAAUAGAGCAGCAAAGCUGUACACUUUCUUCUACAGAAUUUACACUCACAAUUAUGCUGUUUUUCUGGCUUUUUUCUGUUUUUUUGGCUCUCUAAAUAAUACAUUUCCAAGUGAACUCCACUGCUAUCCAGAAUCUCAAUCGUGGACUGUCCUUUCUAUUAAGUCUUUCUGGAGAUUCUCCCACUUUUUUUUUUUAAUCACAAAUUUUUCCUUUUCCAAAUGCAGAAACUGAAUAAAAUCCAAACAAGCUAUUUAUUUUUUAUUUUAAAAGUUUUAACACAUAUUUUUUAAUGACCAGUUAACUUUUAGUUUAGUUUCGUAGCUGAGAAUCAAAAGAAGAAAACAGCAUUUUGUGACCAACCAGACUCCCAUGAAACAUCAAGAAGUGCUUUUUAGACCAUGAUCUAAGAAUCUCUAGUCUGAAGUAUUUGUAUUGAUUUAGGCACCAAAUGUUCAGAGAGAAGUACAAGGAAGCACAUAUCCAAAUUAAUGUAAUCAUUCUUCAGAGCUAAUUGAAAAAUAUUGUUCUUUUACAGUAUUGCUAGCACUUCUUCACAAUGAGCCUGCCAGAGUGAUUCACUUUAUUUCGAAAGCAUAGCUUCCAAAAAUGCUUACACCUUUAAUCUUCAGGGUUAGCCUCAAGCACAAAAGAAACAAGAUCUCCUGAGAUCCCUGUGGUCAAGAAUGACAAUGGAUGCAACCUCUUGAUAUCCUUUCUGGCAGAACUAAACCAUUAUAUACAAUUUCAAGACAUUUGGUACUGGAAAGUGUUUGCAAUGGUAACCUUUGCUCUUAUGGCUGAAAAACUGCAGUUAUAUCUUAAUGUCUGUAAAGGAGAAUAGCAUAUAAACAGCUUAAUGAAAUUAUAAUAUCCCAUAACAUUCUUCUUUCUCGUAUCAAGCCCUCUGGUUUCUUUUACAGGACUUUCCAGUCUGGCAAAUCCCCCAUGAGGCUUAUUACUACUAUGGUCAUUACAGAAGAGUUCUCUCUGUCACCCAAAAACCUUGUAACGUAAUGUUGUCACAUUCCAGCCUGUACAAUUAAAAUAUAUUCUGCCUUCUUUAUAUCUUGCUAAUGCUGACCUAACUUCUGCUGAAGAUAGGCUGAUAACUGAGAGGUACUAUUGCAGCAGGUCUCGUCCUGGGUUCUUUUUGCCAUUAAAAGUUUUGUUCUGGAUGAUGCACACAGAGGAUGCAUGACUCCUUCCAAAGUGAAAAUAAGCAAGUGUUGGAUAGUUUAACAUUGUAGUUUUAGCCUCCAAAAACAGAUGUUAAAUUAAGUGUUUUGUGUAUGUGUGUUUGCACACACAAGUGCAUGAAUAUAUCAUCUUGGCAAUAUAGACAAAAGUCUUCAAGAAUCUGAGCAAUAGCUGUGGUCAGCAUUGUGCAGAACUGCAAUUUGGGAGUAGAUGAGGUAUGUUUAUGCUGAGUCAUGCUUUGACAGUUUCUCAUUCCUUUCUACUCAUUUUAAGAUAUUUCUACUGUUCAUUAUUUCACAGUGCAAUGAAGCUCACAGAUUUUAGCAGGUGUACAUUAAUAUGCAUCAACCAACAUAAGAGUACAGAAAUGAGUACCUGUAAUGCUGAAGAAAGUUCAUGUUAGAGGAGGAUCUAAUAAUGAUGUUGGUCAAUAGCUUAAAGUAUAAGAGAAUGUAUAGUAAUAGAAUCCCUUUGACAUUCACAUUUGUCUCAUCACACUCCACACAUAUCAAAACAAUAUUGCACCAAUGGGAAACAUACAUUAUUAUAUAAAUCUUCCAAGAACAAUAUUUAAGUGGUCUAAACUCGCUGAGUAAGAAUACUUGUGCCAUAGGCUGAUUGGACAUGCCCUUUCCUGAAAUGUGGAUUGUAGCCUGUGAAAGAAGAUGCUUUCUCCUGAAGACAUGUGCAUCUAGUAAAGGAUGAGACAUGCUAGUACUAUGAACCAGGAAGGUAACAGCAAGCUCCUGUCUGGAAACCUUACUGCUUCAUAGAACUGAGUCUGUGCUAACCAGUUUUGAGAGUAGGCAAGAACUAUAUGUAAGAAAGAAGGACCUACAAUCAUAGCUUGGUGUAUCUCCUGGAAUAGAGCUGAGUUGUGACCUGCCUGAUCAUGCUACAGGCACAGCUAGUAAGUGACUGUAACUGGUAAAAUAAACAUGCCCAUACACUUGAUAUUGGAUAACACCAACUUGCACAAGGGUGUACAGGGUUCUUAGGGCAUCUCUGCGAGUUGUGAGCCUGGUUUUGCUCAUCUACACUCUUUUUUUAAUGCUGUUUAAAAGCAAAUUGCAGUGCAGCAUAAUGGUGAAAUUAAUAAAGGGAACAAAAAAUGCUCUUUGCUAAAGUACGUGAAUCACGCAGUAUGCUUUCUUUUCUAAAAUAAAAUGUUUGUUAUUUGGGGCAUGGAGGAGAGAAAAGGGGUAUGGAUUUUUAUUACAAAAUAUUAAUUAUUUUUGAAGAAAUAAAAUCUAAGCUUUUUGAAAAUCAAGCACAGAAGCCUGUUUUUAAGACUCUUCCAUUAAGCUGUCUUCUUAUAAGGCUGUAUCAACUCAACUUCGAACUGAAGUACAUCACUCGUCACUUCAUACUAUCCUUAAAUAAAAUAAAACAAACCAAUAAAAGUUUGGCACCCAAGGACAGCUGUCACAAAGGAGAGAGCCAACACAGUGUGCGUUUAGGGCCUGACUUAUGUGCUCUACGUAACUACACCUAUUAAAAAAUUAUUUAACUUCUAUUCAAACUGUAAAUCCCUUCCUUGCCUUUAUUCAAAAGUGCCAUGACAGUAUGAAGUGCACUAAACUGUAUUACCUUGAUAUAGGAAAAAAUACCAGUAAUCCCCUUGCUCUUCUGUGAGUUGCUAAGAAACACUGUUCGCUCAUAUCUCAUUAGGCCUUCUCUGCUUUAACCUUUACUCUGUAUUGCUUUGAAAGUCUUUUUUUUUUCUUUGUCACAGUUCAUAGCUGCAAGGCAUCGGCAGCUAAAUAAAGUUAAAAUUGUUGCUUAUUAAAGAGUAGCUAAACCACCUCUAAGCAGAUUUUUACAGUUUUUUUCUCUACAUAGAAAUUAUGAUUAUGACAACCUUUCCAUUGACAGUUAGCAUUCAUCAUAAUACAGAUUGAUCACUUAGAAUACUGUCAUUCAAAAACAUGGAGAAAAUCCUUACAGUGUUUACCUGUUCCUUGCGAGCAAAGACUAAGGGAGCCCGAAUAAGUGUUAUAACUGGCAAUGUUAGCAUAAGAACACCCAUAAAAAUGUGUUAAUUUCAGUAGGGAAUGCAGCUAUGAUAUAGCUUGGUAGUGCUGCUAGAAAGAGAAUAUUCACCUCAACAACUUGCCCUGAUAAGGGAAUUACAAAACAGUACUCCAGAAAAUAUUUUUUUGCUACUUCAUUAUUAGUUGGCAUCAUGGUGAAAUAGUCAGGAAAUCUUCCUUGGGUUUUGUUGCUGUGAAGGUGAAUCCAAUGUUAACAAAUUGAUUUUUUUUAUAUACUGGUAGAAGAGAAUUUCAUAAACAAAUGUGUAGGUUGAGAAGUCACUUGUAAAGCCCUCCGUAUCGCAGUCACUCACUGCAAAGCCUCAGCUUAGUGUUAUCCAUGUGUAACGUAUCACAGACACAAUACGCUUCAGCAAAAAGUUUGAUAGUUAUUGAACAUACAUUGCUGCUUUUUGAGAUCUUCAUAGAAAAAAAAAGAAAACUUGAUAGGUUGGUCCUAGAUUUGAGUCUCUUAGAAAAUGUACAUUCAAUGUUUGGUCUUCUAUUCUUGAUAAAAGAUCAAGGUUCACUUCUGGGUAAGGAAUCAGAGUAAACAAACAAACCACUGUACAGUUGUUUACAAUCUUGUUCCCCCCCCAUUCACAUAUUGUACACACAGUUCGUUGUAAUACUAAAGCAAAGCACUUGGUAUGUAACUGAUUUAACAGACUCCUUAUAAGCCCUCAAAAAUAGAUUCAGUGUUUUUGAAAAGCCCAUGUUUUUUUAAGGCCACGAUAAUCUGCCAAGAGUCAUUUUAGAACAUCAUCAUUAAUCUGAUGUUUCCACUGAUCAAGCAACUCCACUUCUUCCUCUGUUUCUCACAAGAUGACCCAAUGCCCCUCACUCUAUCUGCGUAAACACUGGAGAUCUUGAAGUCUUGGCUGUCCCCCCACUACUUGCUUGUAGUCAUCGAGAUCCAAAGUUGUCUUGAACUACAUUCACAGCGAAGAAGAACUUUGAGUGUAAUCUCUGAUGAGGAGUGUGUCAUACUUUGGGGAAGAUGGGAUACAGAGAGCUGAUUCGGAAACCGGAGAGCUGGGAGAUGCACUUCCAGAGUCGAUGGAGUCUCUAAAAGGAGAAGGAGGAGUUAAAGCUACCAGCUCCUCAAGGUCUUGCUUUGCUGAUGGGGUCUCUGCAGUGCCUUCUUUGACGCUGCCAUUUGAUUGUUUCCUAGCUGACUGGGAAGCGCCAUUGACUUCAAUGGAAGGAAGUGGCUGGAUUUCUGCAAACGUGGUCAUUGUUGUGGGGAGCUGGAUUUCUCGUGGGAUCAGGUAUGAAGAGCAGAGAGGAGUGGCCACCAUUGUCCCUGGAGUGGCUGUUGAAAGCAUCAUAGAGUUCAGCUCGCUGAUGUUGGCUGUAAAACGAGUAACCACGCUACUGAUCUGCUCCAUGAGGGAGCCUUGCGAGGAGCUACUUCGCUGCGGAGGCUCGGACUGGAAGCAACUCCAGAUAGCUUGAAAAGGAAGAAUAAUUAUCACCAAAUGCAAUGGAAUGUAGGAAAAAGAUAAAAAUUUGGACAUCACAUAGACAAGAAACAGAAUCCCGGCUGACAAAGAAGUAACAGGUUUAUGCAACUACAGAUGCCAUGGGAAGGUCUCACUACUUUAUUCAUCACUUCAUUCAUUAUACUGAAUAGGGAAGUUACAUUUCGUUUGCUCUGAAGUGUCUUAAAUGUUAGAAACUUCUUUAGGUUUGUAAAAUGGAUGGAUGGGGCUGUGUCUUGACUUGGAUUUGAUUUCGAUGUGACAUUUUCCAAAUUUGUUGUCUUAUAAGAAAGAGGUUUCUCAAACUGUCUCUUUUCUGCUACCUCAUUAUUGAAUUGUGAACUGUAAAAUGAUUUAAUUUUUUGGCAGUGUAUAAUUGUGUUCUAAGUCUUAAACUGCCAGCACUUUGGAUAAUUACUGCAUCAUAUAAUGCUAUGACCAAAACUACAGCAAAGUUAAAGUGUUGUUGGUUUUAUAUAUUUUAGCAGACUCUUGGCUAUAUUAUAAUUCAUACAGGCAUUUACAUACGAGUAGGCCAGGUCAUGUCUUGUCUAGACCUUGUAAGGAGACUAGAUAUCUUAGUCUUUUUGUGAUAGAAUCACAGAAUGGCUUGGGUUGGCAUGGACCUCAAGGAUUAUCCAGCUCCAGCCCCUCCAUUGCAGGCAGGGCUGCCAACCUGCACAUUUAAUACUGGAAUUUUCAUAAUAAAUAAAAUGCCAGUUCAUAUCAAAGUAUGCUCUGGAAAGAAGCAGAAGUUGGUUUGGUAGAAAAAUCUCUACUCUGACCAGAUGGUAGUCUGCAACAGGAUUUACAUCCUGUUGUGUAAAGACAACAGAACACAUGUGUGUAUGCAUACAAAAUGGACAUAAGGAAAUUUGAAUGGCUUGUCUGGACACUCUUUAGUGUGAUGGGUAAGAGAAAUAUUGAUACAGUGUGUGUUGUCAUUUAUUUGUCACAACAAUUUCAGGAGACAGGUUGGAGGAUGAAAAUCAAGGUAAGAAAGAUAGACACUACUGUUAAAAAAUCUACUACCAAACUGCUGGCCCCAUCAUUACUGUUCCUUCCUUUCCUUUCCUUUUUUUUUUUUUUUUUUGUAUUACACUAACAAGAUUGCAUUUUUCCAUCUAGAGCAUAUUUGGGCAAGAGUAGACAGGGAACUGUUUACAAUGUAAAUUUGUUUGAACAGUUCAGCUAUAGGAUUUGAUUCAAAAUGAUGGAGACACUGUCUUAUACAAAUAAAUCAAAAAAUUAAGCUUGAAUACAUGAGCUCAGUCAAUGCAGCCAAACAAUUUAUAUCAAUCAAUCAUUAUUUUAAUUAAAUUUGAGGGGAAAAAUUCAAAACAACAACACUAACACUGCACACAUUAAAAUUCAUUGUGAUCAGGGCAGUCAAGAAUAUAAAUUCAUUGUACAGAGGGAAUAUUUUAGCAACAAUUCAUCAAAAUCUUUCAUACCUAAUAACUUUCACUAAGUUACAUUAAAUAUUCUUCAGUCAUUUCACAAUAUUUGAAGUUUAAUUAAUCACAGCAUCAAGCUUGUCUGAAAAAACACCAGGAGCAGUUUAUCUAGAGAAAAAUGAAGGACUUAAACAAUUCAGCAACCUCACAAUCCACGUUUUGUAGCAUAUUAGGUUUAGAUAGCUCAGAAUGUUUCCCUUGGGAGCUGGUUAGUUAAUAAAUGUAGACUAAUCUGUCAAAAGGAUAAUGACUUCCCCUGAAGAAUCAAAGACUUUUUCCUGCAUGCAUCAAAAUUAUUUUUUAGCAAGGCCAUGAAGCAAACAACUUAUAUCUUGUAUCACUUUGCUUACAUUUCUGAAUAAGAAAAAUUCUCUUUGAGGCAGACAUUCCGCUCAUCUCAAUUGCUACCUUCUCUAGUGGCAUUAUAUUGUGUAAGAGAUUUACUCCUCAACUUUUUUUGUGCAAUUUUAUAGUACAAAGUCAUCCAAACACCUCUGAGCAAUUUGUAGUUCAUGGUCCCAUUGAAACAACACGUAUAGGAGUUAAUUUUUAACAGAGGGGAUUUUUUUGGUACAUGAUAAUCUCUCAGUGACUUCUUUUGCUUCAUGGUAAUCUUUACUUCCCUCUUUUUGUAGCACUUUUACUUUUCACCUUUCAGUGGGAUUUAUGAUGCCGAGACGAGCAAUGGCUAAAUGCUGGUCACUGUUAAAAGUUUAGAGAUGGUGCACGCCAUAUCUGUAAUGCAACUUCUUAAGCAUGAGUUCUCCUAAAUCACACUGUUUACUCAUCCCCUGUUUAGAUGCACUCCACUCCCCCAAGAGCUAAUAUAAAUAAUUAAGUUGUCAAGAAAUGAUUUGCCUGUUCUAUAAAACUUCAAGAUUUCAAAAAACGUCAUUGCCUCUCUCCACUUUAAAAUUUUUGUUUGUUUGUUUUUGUUUGUUUCAGUAAGAUAAAAUGAGAACUGUAAAAGAUUUUUUACUGUAAAGUUAGUAUAAAAAUUUGAUGGAUGUUACACUUAUAAGACAAAACAGACCCAGGGUGGUCAUUGUCUGACAUAGAUAAUCACUGUUCUUUCCAACAGGCUGGAAAACAACUUUCUGCCUUCACUGAUCAGUUGUUUUAUACAAGCCAGAAUGGCUCCACUGGGCUUCAAGAGGAAAGCAAUCCAUCCUGACCUAGCUGACAGACUGUUAAUAUAGCUUGUUAUGAGCUGUGGUAUACCUGUCAUGAAUUCAACAUCAUGAGGUUAUCACCUCUGUUAUGCUCUAAAGUUCCAGAGUUAAACAAUGCAACCACUUGCACUGCUUGCACUAAGAGGUAUCUAGCAAUUUGGCUGUGAAUAUUGCUGAGUAUGAACUCAUAACCCCUGCCCUGCUGAAGCACAAGUACAGAGAUUCUCAUAUGAGUUUGGAGGAAAACUGUGGCAUUCUUUCUAUCGUUAUUCAAAAUGUGUAGAAGAAAUGGCUCGUGCUGCAUAUAAAUGAAGACAAAAUUGGCACUUGUACAGUAAGAAAUGUGUCCGCAUAGAAUAUGCAGUGGCAGGAACUCACAAUCAGUAUCUUUCUCAAUGACAGCAUACUUAAAUGCCAGCCAGCUCCAGCUUUCAGCAAACUCCCCCCAUCUUUCUUUUACACUGCUGUCACAGGCUGGUAGGCCCCCUGGGACAACCCUGUCUUCUUUACAGCAUUAUUUGCUCUGUGUCAAGUAACCACUUUGUUUCAUUUCUCAGAAUGCUUUCCCUCUUGAGGUAUUAUUUUGCAUAUUUAUGCCAGAAUUCCUUUGCAUGUUUGCAUACACAUAUUAUAAAAUCAUUUCAUUACAACUUGAUGUCCACGACUUCAGUCUAUCCAUUUAUGGGCUGAUGGUUGGACUAGAUGAUCUUAGUGGUCUUUUCCAACCUUAAUGAUUUUACGAAUCUAAGACUUACGGAUACGUCCCUCAACCAGUCAGCCUUCUCAGUGUUUUCCUCAUUAUUAGAUGUAACAGUUGGAUCUUUCAGAUGUUUCUGUAACAGCUAAGAUCACUUCUUAUGUUAGCUCAAGCCUGAAAUUUUUGGUUCUUAAUUGUUACUUCUAUUUGAGAAAUUUCAAUUCAGGCUUCGGAAAAAAAGUCACUUCGAGAUUUUGAUGCUGAGAUAAAAUAUAUUGGUGUACGAUAUAGUAUUUUAACUGCAAUAUUUUAUAACCAUGAAUGGUAGCUUCUAGGUUAAUUCAAGG